ACUGCCCAAAACAUUCCUUAAACAAUUUCAUAACACUGAGACAAUUCUGCGGGCGUGAACUGUAGCAAUAGUACCACAGUAGAUAUAUUCUAACCUCGGUGUUGAGUAAGAAAAAAUCAUAGAGGUGAGUCAGCCGAAAUUAUUCAUACUGCUUAAUAAUAACAAUCCACAGAAAAAGAGGAUGAAGAGGAUGUAGAUGUUUAAGGAAUAAGACUCUACGACUUGAAUUACAUAGAUCUGUAGACGUAAACGUCGUAUAAGACAAAAGUACGUAAUUAACGUCCUAGUAGUUUCAAAUGGUUUGUCUAGGACCAGUAUGUUACCCCAGACGUGGGAUUAACAAUACAGAGGCCAGGAGGCACGUCGCUUUCUCAUGCCGAAAAAUUUCGAAAUCGUAUGUUGAACACGUUGAAUACCAGACCUAUCGAACACGUUGAAUACCAGACCUAACUCAGCUCGUCUGAUCCGUUUAUUCCUAAGUUGAAGUCUUCGCUAUUAGACACCUCGACAAAAUUAUCAUUUCUGCGCAAAACAUUUCCAUCGCUGUCUGUCACCCGUGUGAUCCUAGAACGUAGGAGAAAUUAUCAGUCGAAUUUUAUACAUUUUCAUUGAAUUUGGUAACGCCGGUAACCGACACGGCAUUCAAAAUAAACAUACUUAUGUAAACUCGUGCAUCACAUGAGAGGGUACCACGUUUCCUUGCUUUAUGAAAUACAUGAUUAUCCAUCUCCGAGGAUAAUUAGUGUUUAAUGAACAUCCCGUUACGAUCGGAUUCAUUGCCUUUAGGGCUUGACUGAUCAUAAAUCCAGCUUCGAAUUUCCAUUUUGAGAGAAGCCAAAUUCGUAACGACUACCGGUAACGAGUGCGUUGCGAAGCCAAUCCUUUCCCCCUGUUGUAUAUGAUAUUAAUGUGUUACAGAUAUGUCCCAUUUCUUGCCUUGUUGUUACUUUUUUUUUUUAGUAUUAUCCUUAUAAACCUUUUACAUUCAUCUCCAGAUGCUCUACCCUCAAUUUUAUGUACCGCUACGUGAAUGUGUUGUACUUUGUGUGGAUUUGGAAAUCGGAACAAUAACGUGAAUAGGGUAGCUGAGAGUAUGGCAAAGACGAUUUUGGGCUAAAUCUGCACUGCAAGUAAAAAAAAACGAGAGGAACGCGAAAACAACGAGUGAAUGAAUAAGUAUGAGAGAGCGAGAAAAAAACUGAAGAAUGUAAAAGCUUGUGAAAAUAAGAGGGAAAGCGUUUCCGUUAGUCUCAAUCCACCUACACGAUACGAUUAGGUUCAGAUAGGACGAGGGCCGAGUAUUUUUACUAUCAGCAAAAUAGCUGGCAUCCUCCUCCCUCGCGCGAGUGGGAGCGUUACCCAGUUAAUGGAAAAACAAUAUUUUCUGGUAAACAAGGAGGCAACCGCUGACUACGACGACGUCGGCGAUCGGAGCCAUGAGAAUUGGGGCAACGUUCGUAGGACGCGACAGUGAAAAAUUCGUCGAGUCACGAAGGAAUUAUAAUGGAAUCUGAUAUCCCCAAAGGCUCUUGGCGUUCGCACGGCUCACCGGGCAUGCGACUUUGAAUUUUCUAAGCUUGCAUAAGGCUUUUGCUUUGUUAAGCGCAAUUACCUUAUCUCCAUUAUACAACGUGCGAUAGACGAAUUCAAUCGAGAGAGCGAUAACGCAGCCUUCCUUCGUUUGUUUUCAUUUCUUUUUUUCAACAGCAAUUCUCAUUGUCUAGCUACAUGCAGCUGAUUCUCUCUUUCCCUCGUGAUACAUCUUGCCCAACAUCACUCAUUCACGCCUACUAAUAUUUUUCUCUUCUACGCAGUAUAACCCCGUGGCUGCUAACCCGCACAGAUUAUUCCGCGCACGCGACUACGUAUGCACAUACACAUGUAACCUCUGGCCAGCUUCUGCAAAGCGACAUGGGGGCUGCCAUGGAUUUUCCAGCAUAAACAACAGACCAAGCAAAUCUUUUAGCCUCUAUUCUCUCAUGUUUUAACACAUUGGUGAACGGAUAAAAUUUUUCAUUAAAAUUGAAUGAGAAAAAUAAGUUUUAGAAAUUACCAUGAGAAAACUAUUACCGCGAGACACGUGGACAUCGUCGUAAUAAUUGUGAAGGUCGAAAUGCCGUUUCAGCUACUGCAAGUAAAUUUUGAUCGCAACGUAAAAGAAAAAAAGAAACGAGAAUAAAAAAGCAGGUGAGUAGAGGUCACGCGUUGCAGUCCAACUUUACUGCACCGUAAAAAUGGCUUAACUCAAGCAGUGAAUUUUAAAAUGCAAACAUUUCUUUCAACGAAGCUAAGUAAUAGAUGCGAAACAGAGUAUUUGUUUGAUGUGAAACUUCACUUUCCACAAAUGUGUAAAUAGCACAAUAAAAUUAAAUUGACAUCCUCAAA